GAUGAACGCUGGCGGCGUGCCUAAUACAUGCAAGUCGAGCGAAUGGAUUAAGAGCUUGCUCUUAUGAAGUUAGCGGCGGACGGGUGAGUAACACGUGGGUAACCUGCCCAUAAGACUGGGAUAACUCCGGGAAACCGGGGCUAAUACCGGAUAACAUUUUGAACCGCAUGGUUCGAAAUUGAAAGGCGGCUUCGGCUGUCACUUAUGGAUGGACCCGCGUCGCAUUAGCUAGUUGGUGAGGUAACGGCUCACCAAGGCAACGAUGCGUAGCCGACCUGGGAGGGUGAGCGGCCACCGUGGGACUGAUACACGGCCCAGACUCCUACGGGAGGCAGCAGUAGGGAAUCUUCCGCAAUGGACGAAAGUCUGACGGAGCAACGCCGCGUGAGUGAGGAAGGCUUUCGGGUCGUAAAACUCUGUUGUUAGGGAAGAACAAGUGCUAGUUGAAUAAGCUGGCACCUUGACGGUACCUAACCAGAAAGCCACGGCUAACUACGUGCCAGCAGCCGCCGUAA
rnacentral:rRNA from 1 species